AUGAAUGUUUUUGAAAAAAAAAAACAUUUACAACUGCAUGCGAGAGCAACCUGGAGAGACUUUGACAGCUCAGGUCAACCCAAUACCUGUGGCUGCCACUCACCUUUCCUAUAAGA
ensembl:snoRNA